GUGCUCUCAUUUUUUCUAGCCAACAUAUAUAGUCUUGGCUUUCGAUCUCCAUCAAGAUCUGAGUGCAUAGGGCAGAGAGAAGAGUGUAGUUGUGGAAACACCACUGGAGACUCUUUGUCCUCUUCUGCUUUUGGGUGUAGAUUUCUCCUCCUUUUUUUGAGCGCCAUGAUCUUCUUCAUGGACUCUUUUCUUCCUGCCAUUCUUCUUCUCUCCUUCCUAUUGGUGGACUUCACUCUCCUUUCGUGCUCAGGCAAGAAGAUCAGUAUAAUCCUUCGAAAAAUUUUUGUUGAGGGAGAAGAUCA
rnacentral:lncRNA from 1 species